CAUCUACUCCUUCCGUUUCGAAUUACUUGUCACAGGUAUGGAUGUAUCUAGAUGUAUUUUAGUUCUAGAUACAUACAUUUCUAUGGCGAAUAAUUUGGAGCGGAGGAAGUACGUA
rnacentral:pre_miRNA from 1 species